rnacentral:rRNA from 1 species
ACAGAGGGUGCGAGCGUUAAUCGGAUUUACUGGGCGUAAAGGGCGCGUAGGCGGUUAUAUGUGUGGGAUGUGAAAGCCCCGGGCUCAACCUGGGAAGUGCAUACCAAACUAUAUAACUGGAGUAUGUGAGAGGGUGGCGGAAUUUCCGGUGUAGCGGUGAAAUGCGUAGAGAUCGGAAGGAACGUCAAUGGCGAAGGCAGCCACCUGGCACAAUACUGACGCUGAGGCGCGAAAGCGUGGGGAGCAAACAGGAUUAGAUACCCUGGUAGUCCACGCUGUAAACGAUGAGGACUAGAUGUUGGAUGGGGAACCUUUCAGUAUCAAAGCUAACGCGAUAAGUCUUCCGCCUGGGAAGUACGGCCGCAAGGUUG